rnacentral:rRNA from 1 species
CCUACGGGUGGCAGCAGUGAGGAAUAUUGGUCAAUGGACGGAAGUCUGAACCAGCCAAGUAGCGUGAAGGAUGACUGCCCUAUGGGUUGUAAACUUCUUUUAUAUGGGAAUAAAGUGUUCCACGUGUGGGAUUUUGUAUGUACCAUAUGAAUAAGGAUCGGCUAACUCCGUGCCAGCAGCCGCGGUAAUACGGAGGAUCCGAGCGUUAUCCGGAUUUAUUGGGUUUAAAGGGAGCGUAGGUGGAUUGUUAAGGCAGUUGUGAAAGUUUGCGGCUCAACCGUAGAAUUGCAGUUGAAACUGGCAGUCUUGAGUACAGUAGAGGUGGGCGGAAUUCGUGGUGUAGCGGUGAAAUGCUUAGAUAUCACGAAGAACCCCGAUUGCGAAGGCAGCUUACUGCAGUGCAACUGACACUGAGGCUCGAAAGUGUGGGUAUCAAACAGGAUUAGAUACCCUGGUAGUC